CUAAAUAUCUUAAAUUUUCAACGAUGGAUAUCUAGGCUCCUAUAACGAUGAAGAACGCAGCGAAAUGCGAUAUGCAAUGCGAAUUGCAGAACCGCGAGUCAUCAGAUUUUCGAACGCAAGUGGCGGCAGCCUCGGCUGUCAUGUUUGUUUCAGUGUGUCCGGUUAAUUACAUCAUAGAAUUUAAUGUGAUUGAAGGAUUCUCUUCACUGAAUACGAAGUAGUGCAGCCCGGAGCCCUAAUCGAACUAGUCACUAACAUGGUGAUAAUCGUUUAGAGCGCCCUAGGUUGUAAAUCAUUACUGAACAGAAUUUAUCCAUUAUGGCACCUGAAAUAGGCAAGACUACCCGCUGAACUUAAGCAUAUCAGUAAGCGGAGGAAAAGAAAAUAACAAUGAUUACCUCAGUAGCGGCGAGUGAAGAGGUAUAAGCCCAAGAUGUUAAUCUGUGGUAAAGACAGUAGAAUUGUAAUCUAUGGAAUUUCUCAGAAAGGGAAGACUUGCCAUAAGUUCUUUGGAACAAGGCGCCAGAGAAGGUGAAAGCCCUGUCUUCGGACAAGUCGAGGCGAUACGAGAUAUUUCUAAGAGUCGGGUAGUUUGGGAAUGCUGCCGUAAUUUGGAGGAAAACUUCUCCUAAGGCUAAAUAUAAGAUAGGAGACCGAUAGCAUACAAGUACUGCGAAGGAAAGAUGAAAAGAACUUUGAAAAGAGGGUUAAAAGACUUGAAAUCGUUGAAAAGGAAGCAGUAAAAGAGAAAUUAUAGCCGGCGAAUUAAGGUUUUAGGCUAAGCUCGGUGGUGUGUGAUACUUAACAGGGUCGCUGCCAUUCUGCGAAAACUAGCUCAGUUUUUACUGGUGUAAAGACAAAAUGAGAUUGGCUUGUAAUAAUAAAGCUGAAGUAUAUUCUAGGACUGAAUUCAUAAGGCAGAGUGAGGGAUCAUAGGAUGAUUUUGUCAAAAUGGCUUUUACUGACCCGUCUUGAAACACGGACCAAGGAGUCUACCUAUUAUGCGAGUGUUAGGGUGGAAAAACCCAAACGCCUACCGAAAGGGAUGCAAGAUGUGAGGCGCAAGCUGCAACAUCAACCAAUCUUGAUUCUCUGAAGAAGGGCUUGAGUAAGAGCAUAAUUGGUAGGACCCGAAAGAUGGUGAACUACGGUUGAAUAGGGUGAAGCCAGGGGAAACUCUGGUGGAGGCUCGAAGCGGUACUGACGUGCAAAUCGUUCGUCAAACUUGAGUGUAGGGGCGAAAGACUAAUCGAACCAUCUAGUAGCUGGUUCCCUCUGAAAUUUCUCUCAGGAUAGCUGGAACAGAUUCAAGCAGUUUUAUCAGGUAAAGCUAAUGAUUAGUGGAAUCGGGGGUCUUAGACCCUUGACCAAUUCUCAAACUUUAAAUUGGUAAGAACUUCUAGUUAUCUUAAUUGAACUAGGAGAAGGAAUGCGUUGUUCUUAGUGGGCCAUUUUUGGUAAGCAGAACUGGCGAUGAGGGAUGAACCUAACGUCGAGCUAAGGUGCCCAAAUUCACGCUCAUCAGACACCAGAAAAGGUGUUGGUUAGUAUAAACAGCCGGACUGUGGCCAUGGAAGUCGGCAGCAGCUAAGGAGUGUGUAACAACUCACCAGCCGAAUUAACCAGCCCUGAAAAUUGAUGGCGCUAAGCGUGAUACCGAUACUCAACCAUUAAGGCAAAUAGAAGCUUUAAUGAGUAAGAGGGCGUGAAUACUGUGUAGAAGGCUUGGAUGUGAAUCUGGCUGGAACAGUAUUUAGUGCAGAUCUUGGUGGUAGUAGCAAAUAUUCAAAUGAGAACUUUGAAGACCGAAGUGGAGAAGGGUUCCAUGAGAACAGCAUUUGUUCAUGGGUUACUCGAUCCUAAGACAUAGGGAAAUUCCUUGUAAUACAUGGGUUCUUACGAAUCCGUUGUCAAAAGGGAAUGAGGUUGAUAUUCCUCAAGCUGAAUACGGUGGUUUCGUGGCAACACAAACAAGCUCGGAAACACCGGUAUGUGCAACUGGAAGAGUUCUCUUUUCUUCUUAACAAUCUAUCUCCCUGAAUGGAUUAUCCAAAGCAAGGGAUAUAUGGUUGGCAGAGCAGUUCAUCAUAGAAUUGUCAGUGAUGCCCAUAACGGUCCUUGAAAAUCUGAGUAAGGUAUCCAAACACACCAGAUCGUACCCAUAACCGCAUCAGGUCUCCAAGGUUAGCAGCCUCUGGUCGAUAGAAUAAUGUAGAUAAGGGAAUUCGGCAAAUUAGAUCCGUAACUUCGGGAAAAGGAUUGGCUCUGAGGAUUGGGUGCAUAUAGUGGCUCGGAUCUUAUUUGGUAUUAGCCGCGAGGCUGAGACUCGAUUGGAGAAGAAGAAAGCUCUAAAGGCCAACACAAUUAACAACCGACUCAGAACUGAAGCGGACAAGGGGAAUCCGACUGUUUAAUAAAAACAUAGCUUUGUGAUGGCCUCAAAACGUGUUGACACAAAGUGAUUUCUGCCCAGUGCUUUGAAUGUGAAUAUGAAGUAAUU
rnacentral:rRNA from 1 species